rnacentral:rRNA from 1 species
UCAAAGCUCCGGCGGUACAGGAUGGACCCGCGUCUGAUUAGCUAGUUGGUAAGGUAACGGCUUACCAAGGCGACGAUCAGUAGCCGACCUGAGAGGGUGAUCGGCCACAUUGGAACUGAGACACGGUCCAAACUCCUACGGGAGGCAGCAGUGGGGAAUAUUGCACAAUGGGCGAAAGCCUGAUGCAGCAACGCCGCGUGAGCGAUGAAGGCCUUCGGGUCGUAAAGCUCUGUCCUCAAGGAAGAUAAUGACGGUACUUGAGGAGGAAGCCCCGGCUAACUACGUGCCAGCAGCCGCGGUAAUACGUAGGGGGCUAGCGUUAUCCGGAAUUACUGGGCGUAAAGGGUGCGUAGGUGGUUUCUUAAGUCAGAGGUGAAAGGCUACGGCUCAACCGUAGUAAGCCUUUGAAACUGGGAAACUUGAGUGCAGGAGAGGAGAGUGGAAUUCCUAGUGUAGCGGUGAAAUGCGUAGAUAUUAGGAGGAACACCAGUUGCGAAGGCGGCUCUCUGGACUGUAACUGACACUGAGGCACGAAAGCGUGGGGAGCAAACAGGAUUAGAUACCCUGGUAGUCCACGCCGUAAACGAUGAGUACUAGCUGUCGGAGGUUACCCCCUUCGGUGGC